GACGUAGGGCGCAAGCGUUGUCCGGAUUUAUUGGGCGUAAAGAGCUCGUAGGCGGCUCGUUGCGUCGGCUGUGAAAACCCACGGCUUAACCGUGGGCCUGCAGCCGAUACGGGCGAGCUAGAGUUCGGUAGGGGAGACUGGAAUUCCGUGGUGUAGCGGUGAAAUGCGCAGAUAUCAGGAGGAACACCGGUGGCGAAGGCGGCCCUCUGGACGGAUACUGACGCUGAGACGCGACAGCGUGGGGAGCAAACAGG
rnacentral:rRNA from 1 species